AACGAACGCUGGCGGCAUGCCUAACACAUGCAAGUCGAACGAGACCUUCGGGUCUAGUGGCGCACGGGUGCGUAACGCGUGGGAACCUGCCCUUAGGUUCGGAAUAACUCCCCGAAAGGGGUGCUAAUACCGGAUAAUGUCUUCGGACCAAAGAUUUAUCGCCUUUGGAUGGGCCCGCGUUGGAUUAGCUAGUUGGUAGGGUAAAAGCCUACCAAGGCGACGAUCCAUAGCUGGUCUGAGAGGAUGAUCAGCCACACUGGGACUGAGACACGGCCCAGACUCCUACGGGAGGAAGAGGGGGGGAAUAUUGGAGAAGGGGGGAAGGCCUGAUCCAGCAGUGCCGCGUGAGUGAUGAAGGCGUGAGGGUUGAAAAGCUUUUUUACCCGGGAGGAUAAGGACAGUACCGGAAAAAUAAGCCCCGGCAAACUCCGUG
rnacentral:rRNA from 1 species